CACGUAGGGGGCGAGCGUUGUCCGGAUUUAUUGGGCGUAAAGAGCUCGUAGGCGGUUCGAUAAGUCGGGUGUGAAAACUCUGGGCUAACUCAGAGACGCCACCCGAUACUGUUGUGACUUGAGUCCGGUAGGGGAGUAUGGAAUUCCCGGUGUAGCGGUGAAAUGCGCAGAUAUCGGGAGGAACACCAGUGGCGAAGGCGGUACUCUGGGCCGGAACUGACGCUGAGGAGCGAAAGCGUGGGUAGCGAACAGG
rnacentral:rRNA from 1 species